rnacentral:lncRNA from 1 species
GAUUGAAAUAUUUUUAAUUUUAUCCUUCGAGGACCAUCGAUCAUCAAGAUGACGCCCGAUGAGUCUCAUAAUCCACCAGUGACACCUAGCAGUAUAUAGUGACAAUCCAGUAGAAUAAAAGUAUAAACUCCUAGGUGCAGUUAUCAUAUGAUUCAGUCCUUGUAUCAUGAGUUCUGACUUGACGGAGAUUAUGGAGAAUUUGUCAGACCCCAUCAUUAGUCAUAUGCU